CCUGGUUGCUCUAGCGAAGGGGUAACACUCGAUCCCAUCCCGAACUCGAAAGUGAAGAUCUUCAGCGCUGAUGGUACUACGUCUUAAGGCGUGGGAGAGUAAGUCGUGGCCAGGC
rnacentral:rRNA from 1 species